AUGAGAAAUUCUUAUAUAUAAUGUUUACCGCUGAUGUUCUGGUUGUGAAUCAGUUGUUAAUUUCGGGUCCGGGUUUUGGUUCGGAUUUAAUUCAGUCUAUGCAGAUGUGAUGUUGGUCCAUGUUUCGGGUUCGGUACGGUCAGGCGGUUCGGGUGACUCAAACGAGUCAACUCGGUCGGCGAGUCAACUCGGGCGGAUGAGUUAACUUGGUUCGGUUCAGGUUCGGGUCAACAUAAGUCAACAACGGUCAACAGUUCUGAUUGACUCGGUCAACUGAGGUCAAACUCAGUCAACACGAGACGCGGUAAAGUUUUAGUGACGCGGAAAUUAGUUUAGAUUUUUAGUAUAGUUAUACGCGACCGAGCUCGACCCAAUUCAACUAGAUACUAGCUUACGUUUUGGUAUAUUGGAUGAGAAAUUCUUAUAUAUAAUGUUUAGUGAUUGAAU
rnacentral:lncRNA from 1 species